rnacentral:rRNA from 1 species
AACGAACGCUGGCGGCGCGCCUAAUACAUGCAAGUCGAGCGAGAAGACGUAGCAAUACGUUUGUAAAGCGGCGAACGGGUGAGGAAUACAUGGGUAACCUACCCUUGAGUGGGGAAGUAACUAGCCGAAAGGUUAGCUAAUACCGCGUACGCUCCUUGGACUUCGGUUCAGGGAGGAAAGCGAUACCGUGGGUAUCGCGCUCUUGGAUGGGCUCAUGUCCUAUCAGCUUGUUGGUGAGGUAACGGCUCACCAAGGCUUCGACGGGUAGCUGGUCUGAGAGGACGAUCUGCCACACUGGCACUGCGACACGGGCCAGACUCCUACGGGAGGCAGCAGUAAGGAAUAUUGCGCAAUGGGCGAAAGCCUGACGCAGCGACGCCGCGUGGGGGA